GAUGAACGCUGGCGGCGUGCCUAAUACAUGCAAGUCGAGCGAACAGACGAGGAGCUUGCUCCUCUGACGUUAGCGGCGGACGGGUGAGUAACACGUGUAUAACCUACCUAUAAGACUGGGAUAACUUCGGGAAACCGGAGCUAAUACCGGAUAAUAUAUUGAACCGCAUGGUUCAAUAGUGAAAGACGGUUUUGCUGUCACUUAUAGAUGGAUCCGCGCCGCAUUAGCUAGUUGGUAAGGUAACGGCUUACCAAGGCAACGAUGCGUAGACGACCUGAGUGGGGGAUAGGCCGCCCUGGAGCUGAAACACGGACAAGGCUACUACGGUAGGCCGCAGUAGCGAAUGUGACGCAAUGGGGGGAAGCCUGACGGAGCAAGGGCGCGUGAGUGAUGAAGGUCUUCGGAGCGUAAAACUCUCUUAUUAGUGAAGAACAAAUGUGUAAGUAACUAAGCAGGUAUUGACGGUAACUAAUAAGAAAGCCACGGCUAACUACGUG
rnacentral:rRNA from 1 species